rnacentral:rRNA from 1 species
UACGAAGGGGGCUAGCGUUGCUCGGAAUCACUGGGCGUAAAGCGCACGUAGGCGGAUUGUUAAGUCAGGGGUGAAAUCCUGGAGCUCAACUCCAGAACUGCCUUUGAUACUGGCGAUCUCGAGUCCGGGAGAGGUGAGUGGAACUGCGAGUGUAGAGGUGAAAUUCGUAGAUAUUCGCAAGAACACCAGUGGCGAAGGCGGCUCACUGGCCCGGUACUGACGCUGAGGAACGAAAGCGUGGGGAGCAAACAGG